AGCAAAUUGAAAAUUGUAGUGGUCUUGACAACGAAUCUUUAAAACAACAGAUCUAACAGAACCAUUUAUUUUGGGGGGAGAUUCACUUCUCCUUUUGCUGUGGUUUCCUUGGUGAUACUUAGUAAACACCUUCACUUCUCUUCUCAUGACCAGGACUUGCAUUUUUUAUUAGCAUUCUCUGUUCCAAAUACUCUAGUUGUCUUUCAUUUCUUAGGACAGAUCAUACUAUGUCCUUCUUCAGGGCCUCUAGAUAGGGUCUUGCUAUGUUGCAUAGGCUGAUCUCUUGAACUCCUCUGCCUCUCAAAGUGCUGAGAUUACAGAUGCUGUUGCUAAACAACACUUCCAUCAGAGGGCAAGCAGAGAGAGAUACACCAUUCCUUUUAAAGGCUCCUAGUUAUGCCAAUGAGGAAGAAAGUAUUCUACUUACUCUGGUCUAACAGUGUUGGAGACAAACCAACAAGUUAUUAACAAAUAAUUAAAUUCAGAGUCCUUUUUAAAUUAUAAAUUGCCCUUUCUUAUACUUGAUGUGAUAUGCAAACAAAAUCUUUAUUAUCUAGGAAGUAAUGAUUAUUUGUUUUAACGGAAGUGUUGACAAACUAUAAAUGAUCUCUAAAUCCUGCCUAAACAAUUUACUUUCAAAAUAAGCAAAUUCUUAUAUUCUAUAAGACAAAUAUAAGACCUAUUUGUAAUUUAUACAUGCCUUUAGUCUACACUAAACACUGAACCCAUUUGCCAUUUUAGAUAAUUAUGAUCCUUGCAUUCUAUUAAUUUAAAGAAAAGUGGGGCUGGGCCCAGUGGCUCACGCCUGUAAUCCUGGCACUUUGGGAGGCCAAGAUGGGAGGAUCGCUUGAGGCCAGUAGUUCGAGAACAGUCUAGUCAACACAGUGAGACCCCCAUCUCUAUAAAAAGAAAAUAAAAAAGAAAAAUAGAAAAUGUUCAUAAUAACAUCAAAUGAAUUUUCAAAAACAUACUACCAAAUCUUUCAUUAACAAAUAUAGAAAAUGAAGACAGCACAAUAAACUAUAAAACUACCAUUUCUCAUAGCAGGUGAAGUCAUAUAAAAGUACUGCUUUUCCUAUAUUUGAUAACACCAAAUUAUUACCAAUAACUACUUAAAAUUUAAUAAAACUCUUUGUAAUUCCAUAAAGGCAUGCUCUCCUAGAUAAUUAUCUGGAUGCCUUUAUAUGUUUUAAUUAUAUUUGCUUUAAAUGAGUAUAUUUAAAUAUUCUCACUUAAAUAUACCCUCUAAAUUUU
rnacentral:lncRNA from 10 species